GCCGCCGUAGACCAACAGCAGAGUCAGUGGUCUCAGAAGCCAUCAAGUGGAGGUGCAACUCCUCCCGGCGGCACCA
rnacentral:tRNA from 1 species